AUGACAAAAUGGAGCCCAUGACCUCCUGCUGAAGAUGUUCUCCGCAGUGACUGAAAUAUCCACAGCGGGAUCCACACAGAGGAGUGUGGUACAAACCCUUGAAGAACAUCUCGCUGUGUAAAUGAGUGAAGAUGUGGGGAGGUUUAAGAGUUGAAGGGUUCCCCACGGCUGGCUGAAGACACUAUUAUCCAAAGCGAGGUACGAGUCAGAGAGCAGCGUCAGACCAUCUCUGACCCAAUGGUGAAAUCACUCUACCAACCUUCCAAUCAUUGCGGGGGCUGAGCUGAGCCCACCCACCUCCGAAGUGUAAAGCACGGCGUGCCCUUGAACCCACAAAAUAAAGUGCCAGUUAAGCAG